GACAGAGGCCUCAAGCGUUAGGCGGAAUCACUGGGCUUAAAGCGUGUGUAGGCGGAUGCCUAAGUACCUUGUGAAAUCCCACGGCUCAACCGUGGAACUGCUGGGUAUACUGGGCGUCUUGGGCCAUUCAGGGGCGACUGGAACAAGCGGUGGAGCGGUGAAAUGCGUAGAUAUCGUAAGGAAGACCAGUGGCGAAGGCGAGUCUCUGGACAGUUACUGACACUGAGGCACGAAGGCCAGGGGAGCAAACGGG
rnacentral:rRNA from 1 species